AGAGUUUGAUCAUGGCUCAGAUUGAACGCUGGCGGUAUGCUUAACACAUGCAAGUCGAACGGUAACAUUGGAGCUUGCUCCAGAUGACGAGUGGCGGACGGGUGAGUAACGCGUAGGAAUUUACCUAUUGGCGGGGGGGCCCAGAGAAAUUUGGAUUAAUACCGCAUAAGCCCUACGGGGGAAAGCGGGGGACUACUUGUAGCCUCGCACCGAUAGAUGAGCCUGCGUUAGAUUAGCUAGUUGGUGAGGUAAUGGCUCACCAAGGCGACGAUCUAUAGCUGGUCUGAGAGGAUGAUCAGCCACACUGGGACUGAGACACGGCCCAGACUCCUACGGGAGGCAGCAGUGGGGAAUAUUGGACAAUGGGCGGAAGCCUGAUCCAGCAAUACCGCGUGAGUGAAGAAGGCCUUCGGGUUGUAAAGCUCUUUCAGGUGCGAAGAAAAGGUUAGUGUUAAUAGCAUUAACUGCUGACGGUAACACCAGAAGAAGCACCGGCUAACUACGUGCCAGCAGCCGCGGUAAUACGUAGGGUGCGAGCGUUAAUCGGAAUUACUGGGCGUAAAGCGUGCGCAGGCGGUUUGAUAAGACAGAUGUGAAAUCCCCGAGCUCAACUUGGGAACUGCAUUUGUGACUGUUAGACUAGGAGUAUGCAGAGGGGGGUAGAAUUCCACGUGUAGCAGUGAAAUGCGUAGAUAUGUGGAGGAAUACCGAUGGCGAAGGCAGCCCCCUGGGUUAAUACUGACGCUCAUGUACGAAAGCGUGGGUAGCGAACAGGAUUAGAUACCCUGGUAGUCCACGCCCUAAACGAUGUCAACUAGUUGUUGGAGAAGGAGACUUCUUUAGUAACGUAGCUAACGCGUGAAGUUGACCGCCUGGGGAGUACGGUCGCAAGAUUAAAACUCAAAGGAAUUGACGGGGACCCGCACAAGCGGUGGAUUAUGUGGAUUAAUUCGAUGCAACGCGAAAAACCUUACCUACCCUUGACAUGCCAAGAACUUUCCAGAGAUGGAUUGGUGCCUUCGGGAACUUGGACACAGGUGCUGCAUGGCUGUCGUCAGCUCGUGUCGUGAGAUGUUGGGUUAAGUCCCGCAACGAGCGCAACCCUUGUCAUUAAUUGCCAUCAUUUAGUUGGGCACUUUAAUGAGACUGCCGGUGAUAAACCGGAGGAAGGUGGGGAUGACGUCAAGUCCUCAUGGCCCUUAUGGGUAGGGCUUCACACGUAAUACAAUGGCGCGUACAGAGGGUUGCCAAGCCGCGAGGUGGAGCUAAUCCCAGAAAGCGCGUCGUAGUCCGGAUUGCACUCUGCAACUCGAGUGCAUGAAGUCGGAAUCGCUAGUAAUCGCGGAUCAGAAUGUCGCGGUGAAUACGUUCCCGGGUCUUGUACACACCGCCCGUCACACCAUGGGAGUGGACUCUGCCAGAAGUAGGUAGCCUAACCGCAAGGGGGACGCUUACCACGGUAGUAUUCAUGACUGGGGUGAAGUCGUAACAAGGUAACC
rnacentral:rRNA from 1 species